UACAGUAAGCAGCCUCCUUCCGGACUCCUACAAGAAUCGGACUCCGUCCGAACUUCUACAAUAGAAUUGGAUUCCAGACGAACUUCUACAAUGGAUGGGCUCCAUCUCAGUUACAACUGAGUAGUGCUGGAUGCCAAGGAAGGAGUUUGAAUCUUCUAUGGUCUCCACUAUUAUGACCUCCCAGUGAUCAGCCCAUGUGGUGGUGGUCAUGGACC
rnacentral:lncRNA from 1 species